rnacentral:rRNA from 1 species
UACGUAGGGUGCAAGCGUUGUCCGGAAUUAUUGGGCGUAAAGAGCUCGUAGGCGGUUUGUCGCGUCUGCUGUGAAAACUUGGGGCUUAACCCUGGGCCUGCAGUGGGUACGGGCAGACUAGAGUGCGGUAGGGGAGACUGGAAUUCCUGGUGUAGCGGUGAAAUGCGCAGAUAUCAGGAGGAACACCGGUGGCGAAGGCGGGUCUCUGGGCCGUAACUGACGCUGAGGAGCGAAAGCGUGGGGAGCGAACAGG